AUUGGGUUGAAGAUCAAUUCAUAUUGACAAGACUUUUCAUUCAUCUUUUUGUUGAUAUUUGGAUUCCGUUUUCAAAUAAAGUCAUCUUGUAGUUAGAAAUCACCUUUAGAAUCAUCAGCCUCUAUCCCUACACUGACUCGCUUAUCCGGGAUCGAUCCUCACUACGGUCCUUUAUUUUGAAACGAGGAUAGGUCUCUCGCGGAACGAGGUGUAGAUUGA
rnacentral:rRNA from 1 species